AAAAAACAUAAUAGAAGGGCAAAUCCGCCGAACAUAAGCAUAUAAUUAAGCGGAAGAAAAGAAAAUAACAAUGAUUCCUUUAGUAACGGCGAGUGAACAAGGAAGAGCUCAAAAGGAAAAUCCCAUAGUCUGUGCAAGCUUACCUUGGGAAUUGUCAUGUUCAGUAAUUUUCCAAAAGAAUAAUUUAGCAUAUAAGCGAAGUGAGCAGGAAAGCUCUCCCUAAGAGGGUGAAAGGCCCGUAGUUUAUUAUUGCUUGUAUUUUUUUGGAGAAUUGCUUAUAGAGUCGUGUUCUUUGAGAUUGGAGCACAAAUGCGUGUGAUACAUUUCACAUAAAGCUAAAUAUGUGUAGGAGACCGAUAGCAAACAAGUACCGUGAGGGAAAGAUGAAAUAGUACUCAGGAAUGAGCCAUUAAAUAGUACCUGAAAUCGUUAAGAUGGAACGGAUUAAGAGAGAAAAAAAGUAAAGCGGGAAAAUAAGUUCUCCGGAAUUUAUUCUUUCUACUUUAUUAAAAGGAACAUCAGUGAACGUGGAUAAUUAAGAUAGAACAAUUUAAUGAAGUGGUUAGGAGUAUAAUAUUAUUCUUUGCCCUUCAAUUAGUCCUUACUCUAAAGUUCGGACAACUGGUUUUAUAAACUCUUUAACUCAAAAUGGGAAUUAUCUUAUUUGCUGAGGAAAAUCAAAAUUGCAUUCAUUUAUUUCGUUGCAGUUUGAGUUGUUUCUACAUAAUGCUUUCUUAAUCCACUCGUCUUGAAACACGGACCAAGGAGUCUAGCAAAUAUGCAAGUGUGUAUGACAUAUUAAACAUAUGGUAAUUUUUAUUACUAUAUAAAUUAUACGCACAAUUAAUGUACUAUGUUAAUUAUUGUAGAACCUGGGGGGAAGCAAUUCCCCGCUUGGGCGCAUACAAUACCGGUAGGCAAAUUAAUGCCAUAUUGAGUAAGAGCAUAUUUGAUAGGACCCGAAAGGCUUUGAACUAAGUGUGGUGAGACUGAAGUCAAACGAAAGUCUGAUGGAAGAUCGAAUUGAUACAGAUGUAAGAAUCGUUCAUUUCAACUGCAUUUAGGGGUGAUAGAUCAUACGAAAAGCCUAAUAGCUGGUUAUUUUCGAAAGAUCUCUCAGGAUCGCUGGAGUUGAUUAAUAUAAUUUUACCAGGUUAGAGGCAAUGAUUAGAGGACACAGGGAAUUAAAUUUCCUUGACCUAUUCUCAAAUUCCCAAUAGGUAAAAAGGGUUAAAAUAUCUUUAUUUUGUAUUUUGCUCAAAUAAAUAAUAUAACUCCAAGUGGGUCAUUUUUGGUAAGCAGAAUUGGCGAUGAGGGAUGCUCCUAACGCUUGGAUAAGGUGCCUAAAUAUUUGCUCAUGAGAUCCCAUAAAAGGUGUUGGUUCAUAAUGACAGUAGGACGGUGGUCAUGGAAGUCGAAAUCCGCUAAGGAGUGUGUAACAACUCACCUACCGAAUGAACUAGCCCUGAAAAUGGAUGGCGCUAAAGCGAAUUACCGAUACCAAGCCAUAAAAGGAGAAGAAAAGAUUACUUUGUGAUUUUUUUAGAAUCCUUUUAUGAGUAGAAAAUCGUGGGGUUUUGUGUCGAAGCGAAAUACGUGAGUUUUCGUGGAACAUAUCCCUAGUGCAGAUCUUGGUGGAAGUAGCAACUAUUCAAAUGAGAACUUUGAAGACUGAAGUGGAGAAGGGUUUCUUGUCAACUGUGAUUGGACAAGAGUUAGCCGCUCCUAAGAGGCAACCGAAGGGUUUGAAAAUGGCUGGGAACAAGGGAUUACACAAUGUAUGCAUAUAUAUGUGCACACAUAUGUAGAUACAUGUAUGUAUGUGUGCCACACAUGUAUGCAUACAUUGUGUGGUUCUGGCCCCCCCUGCCUACUCGAAAGGGAAACAGGUUGAUAUUCCUGUGCCAUAUAAAUGGUAUAUAAAACAUAACGUUCAGGGUUUUUUUUUUCUAAAAAAAAAAAAAAAACAGAAAGGUGGUAACAUAAAUAGCAAAUGAACUCCUUAACAUAGGCCUUACAUUCGAGUUGCGUUAUCUUUGCAAUUAACUUUGCGGCAAACCUCGGAGUAGCAAUUUACUUGGAGAAGAGGUAUGCUGAAUCUGCAUAUCGGGGCAAGAGAUGCACAUCGGGAAACUUGUUUUUUCUGUACAUUUUUUUUUUUUCCGAUCUUUGUAGUAAUAGUAAUUCUUUUUUUAAUGGAAUUAUUCGAAAGCGUAAGGACUAUCCUUGAAAAAAGGAGGGAACAAGUAAAUUUUGAGAAUAUGGUAGAAAUUCCUGUUCCAGCGGGGAAACCUCUUCCUUUUUAUUUUCAUAUAUGCUGAAUACCAUUGUUGUACGUACCGAAUAACCGCAUCAGGUCUCCAAGGUUAACAGCCUCUGGUUAAAUAGAACAAUGUAAGUAAGGGAAGUAAGAUAAAUUGGAUCCGUAAUUUCGGGAUAAGGAUAUGGCUCUGAUGAUACUAAGCGAAGAUAAUGAUGGAGUGGUUAGUUAUCAUAUAGCUCUGAGGAGAAAAGGCGGGUAUAUAUAGGCUGUUUCGGAUGAUUUUUCAUCUGUUCAUACUUUGUGUGCUCGUUUUCUUUUCACCCCUGAUAUAUAUAUUUCUUUCCCUCCUUCUUUCGCACUGCGAAAAUUAUGGUAUUUCCUAACUUUAAGUGGCACUGCUCCAGCGUGUCUUAAAUGUGGGGAUGCCAUGACUGACGUAGAUAUAUACAGUAUCCAAUCAGAACUGAAACUGGCAAGAGGAAUUUAACUGUUUAAGACAUAGCACUGUGAAAGCCCUCAUAGAGUAGGUACAUGAACGUGUAUGCAUAUAUUGUAUAUAUGUUUAUGUACUCUUUUGGAGCACCUCUGACGCAGUGUGAUAUCUGCCCAGUGCUUUUGAAUAACUAGUGUAGCUGUAAUUCAAUAAACGCACAGGUAAAUGGCAGAAGUAGUUGUUACAGCUUCUAAUAUUAGCCAAGUGUUUCGUCAUUAUGCGCGUGCCCUCUGAUUCUUGCCAGUGGUUUGUAGUAUUAUGAUGCAUAGGGCCUGUUAGCCGGGUGUUCUAUCUGGCUUUCCAUGUCUUAUGUCGUAAUAAUAUUAUACCUAUGGUUCAGAUAACGGGCAGAUGCGCUUUUAAUCAUGAAGGUCACUUAGAGCAGAUAAACGAAAUUCCUGCUGUCCCUACUUGCAAUCUAGCGAAACCACAACCAAGGAAUACAGGCUUGGUUAAAUCAGUUGGGUCACAGAAGACCUUAUUGAACUCGACUCCAGGUAGGCUCUGUAAAAAGGCUUCCGAUUGUGUAGCAUAAGUGGGAGCGGAAUUCUGAAAUAUGUUUCUGCGCAAGUGAAACACCACUCUAUCCAAAGUCUUUUCACUCAUCCUUUAGUGUGGGCAUCACAGGGACACAUAUGUAUGUAUGCUCCUCCCCUUAAUACCACUCUAUGGAGACACAGCCUAGUGGGGAGUUAAUUUACAGCGCCGCUAUAUUUGCGUAUCAUCUUUUAUUUCGAUAAAGGGUGUACGUAUAAUGUGCGAAUGGAGUUAGCAGACUCAAAGAGAACAGAAAUCUCUUGUGGACUUUGCAAUAAUAAGAAAUGUCUGUUAAUAAUAGUUACAUCUUCCUCUGGGGGAGUUUGUAUGGCCUGUAAUUAUGACCUCCUUAUUCAUGUGAAAAUACCAUGGUGUGGGCAUCGCGGACAUGCGUUUGUAUAUACGUAUAUAUGUACAUACGUGCAUAUAUACGUAUGCACAUGCGAAUUAUAUAUCCGUAUGCCUCUCCGUAUAUAGUGUACAAAUAAGGAGCGAUAGGAAAAGGGUUAUAAUAGGGAUAACUUUCUUGCGGCAGCCGAGCGACUUUAGCGACGUAGCUUUUUGACUAUUUUGUAAUAUAUCAGCAUUUCCUAUCAUUGGGAUGAAGAAGUCCCAAAGUGUCGGAUUGUUCAACCGCUAACAGGGAACGUGAGCUGAUUUUUUGGGCAGUCGUGAGACUUGCCUAGUUUUUAACCUACUGAUGAAAAUUGUUAAUUUAAUAUAACGCAUUGAUAAUGUGACGGUAAUCCAACUCAGUACGAGAGGAUAAGUUGGUUCAGACAUUUGGUACAGGAAUUGGUUGACAAGCCAGAGUUCCGAAGCUACGUCUGUUGGAUAAUGGCUGAAUACAUCUGAAGCCAGAAUCCAUGCUGAAUAAACAUUACUGUAAGCGUGUUCUGUAUAAUUUGGCUUUUCAAAUGUUUUGCUUUAUAAGCAAACUGGAAAACGAAUACAUAUAUGAUUCCUUACUUUUGUAGGACAUCAGUAUAUUAGUAACCCAUCAGCCAAAGUAUUUCUCAAAGUUGGAAGAAGGGAGGAGGUAGCACUGUGUUUAGGAGAUGGUAGCUAUCUAUGGUAGAAGCAGCUAUGUUCUAUUUUUUCCAAACUGUAGAGUGACAUUGAGCUUCCUUUUGCAGUAUGGUAGAAUGAGCGGUUUGUCCUUUUCGCUUAUACUCCUGUAUUACUUUUUAAGGUACGGUCGAGGGAGUGAAAGGACCGGGUUGCCCUUUUUUCCAUUUUUCAGCCGCUGGAUCCUAAAAUGCUAUGCGCCUCUGUCCUUGUGAAGACUGCGAAGAAUACUUUUUGACCGUAAUUUCUAUAAUGCAGAAUGCAAUUAAAAAAUGCCUGUAGACGACUCGAAAUGCCCCUGGUGCUGUAAACAUGAAAGUAAACCUUGUUUUACGAUCUGUUGAGGCUUAUCCACGGGUGUUCAUUUUUU
rnacentral:rRNA from 1 species